CUUUGCCCAGACCAGCCAUGUGGGAAGAAGAGAGGCUGACUGCGGCAAUGUAGUCUGAUCCUCCAGCAAUCACUCAUCCAACAUCUAUAGGACUUGCAGCCCUCCUGAAGACACCAGUAUGGACUUUAAUUUUGCAGCACUGUGGGCCAUUCCGUCUAAGGAUCUAUGAGAGGGAAGACUUUGAAGGGCAGAUGAUGGAGUUCACUGAAGACUCUCCUAAUGUCUUUGAGCAGUUCCGGUUCCAUGAAAUCCACUCCUGUAAUUCACUUGAUGGGCAUUGGAUGUUUUAUGAUGAGCCUAGCUACAGAGGACGUCAGUAUUAUCUGAAACCUGGAGAGUACAGGCGAUACACUGAGUGGGGAGCCAUGUACCCCAGAAUUGGUUCAUUCAGAAGAGUACAAUAUUAUAAAUUAAAGAGUUUAUAUUUGAUCAUGGUGCCUCUCUGAUAAUAAAAAGCACAUGAUUAUUGUU